rnacentral:lncRNA from 1 species
AAAAAGUUGAAGUUGAAAUUUAAAUCUAUUCUAUUACAAUUUUAAUUGGGGACUCUUGGGAAAUUUUCACUUACUUGGACCACGAGCUGAUUACACCACAAAAUAACCUGGUGUUCCAUUGAUAACCACACAUUUUUCAUGCCCGUGCUACUAAUCAUAAGGCCGUGGGUAGGGGGAACAAUACCAUCAAGUGAUUGUAACUUUGACCGGACCUAAAAAUGAGAAGUUAUUGAAGCUAAUGGUAAAUAUUUAGUCAAGGUGGGUAGGAGGCACAAUACCAUCAAGUGAUUGUAACUUUGACCGGACCU